CCUACGGGUGGCAGCAGUGGGGAAUAUUGCACAAUGGGGGGAACCCUGAUGCAGCGACGCCGCGUGAGUGAAGAAGUAUUUCGGUAUGUAAAGCUCUAUCAGCAGGGAAGAAAAUGCCGGUACCUGACUAAGAAGCCCCGGCUAACUACGUGCCAGCAGCCGCGGUACUACGUAGGGGGCAAGCGUUAUCCGGAUUUACUGGGUGUAAAGGGAGCGCAGACGGCUGUGCAAGUCUGGAGUGAAAGGCGGGGGCCCAACCCCCGGACUGCUCUGGAAACUGUAAAGCUGGAGUGCAGGAGAGGUAAGCGGAAUUCCUAGUGUAGCGGGGAAAUGCGUAGAUAUUAGGAGGAACACCAGGGGCGAAGGCGGCUUACUGGACUGCAACUGACGUUGAGGCUCGAAAGCGUGGGGAGCAAACAGGAUUAGAUACCCGUGUAGUC
rnacentral:rRNA from 1 species